UUGUCGUCAGCUCGUGUCGUGAGAUGUUGGGUUAAGUCCCGCAACGAGCGCAACCCUUGUCUUUAGUUGCCAUCAUUAAGUUGGGCACUCUAGAGAGACUGCCAGGGAUAACCUGGAGGAAGGUGGGGAUGACGUCAAAUCAUCAUGCCCCUUAUGCUUAGGGCUACACACGUGCUACAAUGGGUAGUACAGAGGGUUGCCAAGCCGUAAGGGGGAGCUAAUCCCUUAAAGCUACUCUCAGUUCGGAUUGUAGGCUGAAACUCGCCUACAUGAAGCUGGAGUUACUAGUAAUCGCAGAUCAGAAUGCUGCGGUGAAUGCGUUCCCGGGUCUUGUACACACCGCCCGUCCCACCACGGGAGUUGGAGACGCCCGAAGCCGAUUAUCUAACCUUUUGGAAGAAGUCGUCGAAGGUGGAAUCAAUAACUGGGGUGAAGUCGUAACAAGGUAGCCGUAUCGGAAGGUGCGGCUGGAUCACCUCCUUUCUAAGGA
rnacentral:rRNA from 1 species